AUCUUUCCAUUUUCUUCUAUUAUCACAUCAUCUUUAAUCCUUUUCUUUUUGGCUUUAGCUUUGGCUUUGGCUUUGGCUUUGGACUACCAGGAUCAUACGACGAUCUUUUAUUCGGAUCGAUUUCUGUGAUCUUCCUCGGAUCGAAAUAUUCAUGAUCUUUCUCGGAUCAAAGUGGCCAUGAUCUUUCUCGGAUCAAAUCAUUCAUGAUCUUUCUCGGAUCAGAUUCUUCAUGAUCUUUCUCGGAUUAUAUUCUUCCACAUAUAAGCCUGUGGGGGCUGUCCUAGGCAUAAGCUCCUGGCAGGCUAUUCCACAUGACAAGACCAGUCCAAACCAUAUUUCUCUUUCUUUUCAUUUUCAUGAAAUUAUGAUAUUUAACUUCAUUAAUCAAUUCAUCUUUUGCAGUGAAAUAAAUAUGUCAUACACAUAAUCAUGCCAUCAAUCACAGAUACAUAUGUAUUGAUAUAGCAUACUCAUGCUCAAAAUCACAUAAAUAAAUAACAAUAUCUCAGAUAUAACAAAUUCAUCGAUCUCAAAUCCAACGAUGCAAAAU
rnacentral:lncRNA from 1 species